AUGAACUCCCCCAACGAGGCCGAUGGGCCGUCCGGACGCAAGCAGCAGCAGCAGCCGCCGCAGCAGCCCCUGGACAUCCUGGCCCGCACCGCCCUCCGCGCCCUCCCCAGGACAGACCGGUUUCCGUCAUCUGCGUCUCAGCCCGAAUCGCGGAACGCCACCGUUUAUCGCUGUGCCCAGCGGUUAGUACAGUGCUCGGCGCGCAGUUGGGGGUGGGGGAGGAAGAGGGGGAAGGGCCCGGUCUGGGCUUUGGUUUUCCCAGCACCCGUGUCGUAUCUUUACGUUACCGUCUCCCCCUCUAGACGGUGAGCUCGUUGUGGGCGGGGAAUGUGUCGGUUAUAGGGUCGUAGGGAACUCUCCCGAGCGCUUAGGACAGUGCUCCGCACAGAAUAAGCACUCCAUAAAUAUCACCCAGCGAUCGGAUGUGGCUUGGGACUGUCGGUUCACUUCUCUGGGCCUCUACGUCCUCGCCCGUAAAACGGGGAGAGGGUCCCUAGUCUCUCUCCAUCUCAGGCCCCGUAGGACGGGGCCUGCGUCAGUCAUCCUAUCUACUGAGCGUUCGCCGUGUGCGGAGCACUGCGCCGAGGGCUUGAGAGAGCGCAGUGUCACAAUAAACAGACACGUGCCGCGUUGAUCAUCCUGCGGCCACGCCGGCACUCGACGAUCAAGCCGUCAGUGCUGUUUAUCGAGCGCUUACCGGGUGCCGUACUAGGAACAGAGAAGCGGAGAAGGAGCCUGGUGGAUGGAGCGAGGGCCUGGGAGUCGGAAGGUCACGGGUUCUCAUCCCGGCUCAGCCACCCGUCUGCUGCGUGAUCUCGGGCGAGUCACUUCACUUCUCCGGGCCUCGGUGACCUCACCUGGAAAAUGGGGAUUGAGACUGUGAGCGCCAGGCGGGACGGGGACUGUGUCCAACCUGAUCUUCCUGGCUCCACCCCGGCGCCUAGUACGGUGCCUGGCACUUAACAGAUACCAUAAUUAUCACCGUUAUUACGGUAGAGCAAAGAUGAUAGACUGGUUGCUGCCCACAGGGAGCCUACAGUCUGGAGGGGGAGGCAGGUCGUGAAUAUAAAUAAACGAGGGAUAUGGACAUGAGGGCUGAGGGGCUGGGGGGGGAUAAAAGGGGCAAGUUCAAGUGCACGGGCGACACGGAAGGGAAGCGGGAUGGCGCGGUGGAUAGAGCCCGGGCCCGGAAGUCAGGAGGUCAUGGGUUCUAAUCCCGACUCCGCCACGUGUCUGCCGCGUGACCUUGAGCAAGUCAUUUUACUUCGCUCGGCCUCAGUUACCACCCCAGUAAUAAUGACGAUGGUAUCUGUUAAGCGCUUACUAUGUGCCCAGCACCGUUCUGAGCACGGGGGCAGAUACAAGGCAAGCAGGAUAUCCCACGUGGGGCUCACAGUCUUCAUCCCCAUUUUCCAGACGAGGUAAGAGAGGCACGGAGAAGUGAAGUGGCUUGCCCAAGGUCACACAGCAGACAGGUGGCGGCGCCGGGAUUAAAACCCACGACCUCUGACUCCCAAGCCCGGGCUCUUGCCCCUAGGCCACGCUGCUUCUCUUUGCGCUUAGCACAGUGCUUGGCACCGAGUACAGAGAAGCAGCGUGGCUCCGCGGAAAGAGCCCGCGCUUGGGAGGUCGUGGGUUCUGAUCCCGGCUCCGCCGCUCGUCAGCUGCGUGACCUUGGGCAAGUCCCUUCGCUUCUCUGGGCCUCAGUGACCUCAGCUGGAAAAUGGGGAUAAAGACCGGGAGCCCCACGUGGGACCGCCCGAUCGCCUCGUAUCCCCCCCAGCGCUUAGAGUGCUUGGCACAUAGUAAGCGCUUAACAAACGCCGUCAUCGUUAUCAGUAAGCACUUAAUAAACACCACAGUUAUCCCAGAAGGGAGUGAGAGAGUAAUAAUAAUGGGAUUUCGGGCUAGCGGGGGCCCCGUGAGCGCU
rnacentral:lncRNA from 1 species